GUAGGGAAUAUUGCGCAAUGGACGAAAGUCUGACGCAGCGACGCCGCGUGAGUGAUGAAGGCCUUAGGGUCGUAAAGCUCUGUUGAAUGGGAAGAAAAAAAUGACGGUACCAUUCGAGGAAGGACCGGCUAACUUCGUGCCAGCAGCCGCGGUAAUACGAGGGGUCCUAGCGUUGUUCGGAAUCAUUGGGCGUAAAGGGUGUGUAGGUGGCCAUGUAAGUCAGGUGUGAAAGCCCCGGGCUCAACCCGGGAAGUGCACUUGAUACUGCGUGGCUUGAGUACCGAAGAGGAUAGUGGAAUUCCAGGUGUAGUGGUGAAAUACGUAGAUAUCUGGAGGAACACCGGUGGCGAAGGCGGCUACCUGGUCGAGUACUGACACUGAGACACGAAAGCAUGGGGAUCAAACAGGAUUAGAAACCCCGGUAGUCC
rnacentral:rRNA from 1 species